AAGAUAAAAUUGGAUGUGGGCUUGGCUCAAUAAUGGUAAGCAUCAGUUUGCAUUAUUUAUAUUGGAGUUCUCAAUGUUUGACACGUCAUUGCAAUCUACUUCACUUACUUUUGUGUUAUUGAGCAUUUCUCUUUGCAGCUGUAAUCUGGAAUUACACAUAAUCUCAGUUUGCUUUUAGAUCAAUAUACAAGCUUCAUGAAGAUAUGGUAUCCAAUUGAGUCUUCUCCCAAUUAGAACUUUGGCUAUUUAGAAUUUCCAUGUAGUUUUUCUUGUUGUGAUUGCUUACCCUGGUGGGUACCCAUUAUGUUUGCUAAAGGGCACUAGUGGGAAAUAUAUGUACACAUGUGCACACACACACACAUCAUUGUGUUUGUAACUGAUUGUAGGCUGAUUUACUUGCUUCUUACUUAAAAAUGAAGAUUUUAACAUUCUGCAUCAUCAAAACAUCCAAGUAUCCCAUAUUUCUUGGUCAUAAUACUCGAGA
rnacentral:misc_RNA from 1 species